rnacentral:rRNA from 1 species
AACGAACGCUGGCGGCAGGCUUAACACAUGCAAGUCGAACGGGCGCAGCAAUACGUCAGUGGCAGACGGGUGAGUAACACGUGGGAACCUUCCUAGGGGUACGGAACAACUCAGGGAAACUUGAGCUAAUACCGUAUACGUCCGUGAGGAGAAAGAUUUAUCGCCCUUAGACGGGCCCGCGUCGGAUUAGGUAGUUGGUGGGGUAACGGCCUACCAAGCCUACGAUCCGUAGCUGAUCUGAGAGGAUGAUCAGCCACACUGGGACUGAGACACGGCCCAGACUCCUACGGGAGGCAGCAGUGGGGAAUCUUGGACAAUGGGCGCAAGCCUGAUCCAGCCAUGCCGCGUGAGUGAAGAAGGCCUUAGGGUUGUAAAGCUCUUUUGCCAGGGACGAUAAUGACGGUACCUGGAGAAUAAGCCCCGGCAAACUUCGUGCCAGCAGCCGCAGUAACAC